rnacentral:rRNA from 1 species
GACGAACGCUGGCGGCGUGCUUAACACAUGCAAGUCGAACGGAAAGACCCGGCGUUUGUGGGGUGCUCGAUUGGCGAACGGGUGAGUAACACGUGAGUAACCUGCCCUUGACUGUGGGAUAACUUCAGGAAACUGGGGCUAAUACCGGAUAGGAGCUCCUGCUGCAUGGGGGGGGUAGGAAAGAUUCGGCGGUUGGGGAUGGACUCGCGGCUUAUCAGCUGGAUGGGGAGGUAGGGGUUUACCAAGGCUUUGACGGGUAGCCGGCCUGGGAGGGGGACCGGCCACAUUGGGACUGAGGUACGGCCCAGACUCCUACGUGAGGCAGCAGUGGGGAAUAUUGCACAAUGGGCGGAAGCCUGAUGCAGCAACGCCGCGUGCGGGAUGACGGCCUUCGGGUUGUAAACCGCUUUCGCCUGUGACGAAGCGUGAGUGACGGUAAUGGGUAAAGAAGCACCGGCUAACUACGUG